rnacentral:misc_RNA from 1 species
CCGCGGUGAUUGUAACUAGAUUCUAGUGACAUCCCUUGGUCAUGGACUAAGAAGUAAAGAAUGCUUGAUGCUUGAUUGAUAAUACUCCACUACAAGGUUUCAGCACCGCCGCCGCUUCGAAAAAUCUACUUCAAAUUCCAAGCAUGUUACGUCACCCUCAAGAGUGCAUCACGUGCUAAGGUCACAUGCUCAAUUUGCUAAAUACGAGGAAUAUUCCCAUUCUCAAAGGCCGUUGGUGUGGUGUAUAGUUCUCAGGAGCAAAUUCUUGUUACCUUGGUUGAAGCAUCAUUUUUCUCAAAAAUCACAUCGAGAUGGAAAAAAUAGUUAUCUUGGCACUUGUCAUCCUCUCAUACGUCGCACUAUCUUCAGCCCAUUCCCAUAGCUCG